CCUACGGGGUGCAGCAGUGAGGAAUAUUGGUCAAUGGUCGGGAGACUGAACCAGCCAAGCCGCGUGAGGGAUGAAGGUACAGAGUAUCGUAAACCUCUUUUGUCAGGGAACAAAGGCGGGGACGUGUCCCCGGAUGAGUGUACCUGAAGAAAAAGCAUCGGCUAACUCCGUGCCAGCAGCCGCGGUAAUACGGAGGAUGCGAGCGUUAUCCGGAUUUAUGGGGUUUAAAGGGUGCGCAGGCGGUCUGUUAAGUCAGCGGUCAAAGCCCGGGGCUCAACCCCGGCCCGCCGUUGAAACUGGCAGUCUCGAGUUGGAGAGAAGUAUGCGGAAUGCGCGGUGUAACGGUGAAAUGCAUAGAUAUCGCGCAGAACUCCGAUUGCGAAGGCAGCAUGCCGGCUCCACACUGACGCUGAGGCACGAAAGCGUGGGUAUCGAACAGGAUUAGAUACCCGGGUAGUC
rnacentral:rRNA from 1 species